AUUGAACGCUGGCGGCAGGCCUAACACAUGCAAGUCGAGCGAGCGGCGGUCGGGUGAGGAUUGCUUGGGCAUUGCACCGUCGCGGUGGAUAAGAGAUGGAACCGACUGCUAAUACCGCAUACGACUGGCUUGCCCAGGUGGGAUUAGCCAGUUGGUGCGGUAAUGGCUCACCAAGGCGACGAUCCCUAGCUGGUCUGAGAGGUUGAUCAGCCACACUGGAACUGAGACACGGUCCAGACUCCUACGGGAGGCAGCAGUGGGGAAUAUUGCACAAUGGGGGAAACCCUGAUACAGCCAUGCCGCGUGUGUGAAGAAGGCCUUCGGGUUGUAAAGCACUUUCAGCGAGGAGGCGUUACUCGCAGAAGAAGCACCGGCUAACUCCGUGCCAGCAGCCGCGGUAAUUC
rnacentral:rRNA from 1 species